GAUGAACGCUGGCGGCGUGCCUAAUACAUGCAAGUCGAGCGAACGGACGAUAAGCUUUCUUCUCUGAUGUUAGCGGCGGACGGGUGAGUAACACGUAGAUAACCUACCUAUAAUACUUGGAUAACUUCGGGAAACCGGAGCUAAUACCGGAUAAUAUUUUCUACCGCAUGGUUCAAAAGUUCUAGACGGUCUUGCUGUCACUUAUAGAUGGUUCCGCGCUGCAUUAGCUAGUUGGUAAGGUAACGGCCUACCAAGGCAACGAUGCAUAGCCGACCUGAGAGGGUGAUCGGCCACACUGGAACUGAGACACGGUCCAGACUCCUACGGGAGGCAGCAGUAGGGAAUAUUCCGCAAUGGGCGAAAGCCUGACGGAGCAACACCGCGUGAGUGAAGAAGGUCUUCGGAUCGUAAAACUCUGUUAUUAGGGAAGAAAAUAUGUGUAAGUAAAUGUGCACAUCUUGACGGUACCUAGUGAGAAAGCAACGGCUAACUACGUG
rnacentral:rRNA from 1 species